rnacentral:rRNA from 1 species
UACGUAGGGUGCAAGCGUUGUCCGGAAUUAUUGGGCGUAAAGAGCUCGUAGGCGGCCUGUUGCGUCCGCUGUGAAAGCCCGGGGCUUAACCCCCGGGUCGGCAGUGGAUACGGGCAGGCUAGAGGUAGGUAGGGGAGAAUGGAAUUCCCGGUGUAGCGGUGAAAUGCGCAGAUAUCGGGAGGAACACCGGUGGCGAAGGCGGUUCUCUGGGCCUUACCUGACGCUGAGGAGCGAAAGCGUGGGGGAGCGAACAGG